rnacentral:rRNA from 1 species
AGAGGCCUCAAGCGUUAGGCGGAAUCACUGGGCUUAAAGCGUGUGUAGGCGGAUCGUUAAGUGCCUUGGGAAAUCCCACGGCUUAACUGUGGAACGGCUGGGCAUACUGGCGGUCUUGAGCCAUCUAGGGGCGACUGGAACAAACGGUGGAGCGGUGAAAUGCGUAGAUAUCGUUUGGAACGCCAAUGGUGAAAACAGGUCGCUGGGGAUGCGCUGACGCUGAGACACGAAAGCCAGGGGAGCAAACGGG